rnacentral:rRNA from 1 species
AUUGAACGCUGGCGGCAUGCCUUACACAUGCAAGUCGAACGGCAGCACGGGAGCAAUCCUGGUGGCGAGUGGCGAACGGGUGAGUAAUAUAUCGGAACGUGCCCAGUCGUGGGGGAUAACGUAGCGAAAGCUACGCUAAUACCGCAUACGAUCUAUGGAUGAAAGCGGGGGAUCGCAAGACCUCGCGCGAUUGGAGCGGCCGAUAUCAGAUUAGGUAGUUGGUGAGGUAAAGGCUCACCAAGCCGACGAUCUGUAGCUGGUCUGAGAGGACGACCAGCCACACUGGGACUGAGACACGGCCCAGACUCCUACGGGAGGCAGCAGUGGGGGAAUUUUUGGACAAUGGGCGCAAGCCUGAUCCAGCAAUGCCGCGUGCAGGAUGAAGGCCUUCGGUUGGUAACGUAGCUUUUGUUACGGUAACGAAA